UCGAUUAGCCCCACGAACCGUUCCGAUCUAGUGCCGAACGGACGGCACCUCCGCGUUCAGCACACGUACAACUCAAUGAUGAUCUCGGCCUUCUUGAUCCAGCAAGCAAUACAGAGAAGUAGAUGAGUUCUCCUGCAGCGUGACGGCUCUCCGGUGGUGGCGACGAUCUACUCUUGCAGGGCUCCGCCCGAGCUCCGCAGAAAUACG
rnacentral:lncRNA from 1 species